UACGGGGGGUGCAAGCGUUGUUCGGAAUCAUUGGGCGUAAAGAGCGUGUAGGCGGUUGGACAAGUCAGAUGUGAAAGCCCUGGGCUCAACCCAGGAAGUGCAUUUGAAACUGUUCAGCUAGAGUAAGGGAGAGGAAAGUGGAAUUCCUGGUGUAGAGGUGAAAUUCGUAGAUAUCAGGAGGAACACCGGUGGCGAAGGCGACUUUCUGGCCCUAUACUGACGCUGAGACGCGAGAGCGUGGGUAGCAAACAGGAUUAGAUACCCUGGUAGUCCACGCUGUAAACGAUGUUCACUAGGUGUUGGGGGUAUUGACCCUCUCAGUGCCGCAGCUAACGCAUUAAGUGAACCGCCUGGGGAGUACGGUCGCAAGAUUAAA
rnacentral:rRNA from 1 species